rnacentral:rRNA from 1 species
UACGUAGGGUGCAAGCGUUAAUCGGAAUUACUGGGCGUAAAGCGUGCGCAGGCGGUUUUGUAAGUCUGUCGUGAAAGCCCCGGGCUCAACCUGGGAAUUGCGAUGGAGACUGCAAGGCUAGAAUCUGGCAGAGGGGGGUAGAAUUCCACGUGUAGCAGUGAAAUGCGUAGAGAUGUGGAGGAACACCGAUGGCGAAGGCAGCCCCCUGGGAUAACACUGACGCUCAUGCACGAAAGCGUGGGGAGCAAACAGG